rnacentral:lncRNA from 1 species
UCCACUCCUGCUUCAACGCCACAGUCACCAGACAAUUGAGCUGCGGUGAUGUCAAUAGUUGGGGUUCUUUCUUCUUGAAUCGUGGCUGCUGCAAGUAGAGCAACCACAACUGCAGAGAUGCAAGGAAUUUCUUCUGCAAGCUGGAAAAUUGCACGAACUACAGUAAAAACUUUAAGAUCCUUCAACUGAAUCGGGGUAGAAGCAACUAGUGCAGAAGUCCGAAUUUGCAGGUUUGUGAAUCUCGAACAGGCGAUGGUUCCAUUUUUUUUUGGUUGCUGUGAUUUCGGUGGGUUAUGAGGAAUUUGUGUAAGCUGCAGGUGGUAGUUGGAGGGCGACGGUGGAUGGAAAAAAUUCUGGUCAGACUUUUCUGCUCUUUAAGUUCUGCAUGACGGGCUUUCUUUUGGUUGGGGUUUGUAUUGGUUGUGGCUCGCGAUUGUGAAAGUCGCGAUCUUGAGGGUUGUGUAUUGGCGGUCGUGAGGGAAACUGGUCGUCCUUGUCUGCAGUGGGUUGUGUUGUGUGUAUAUGAGUAUAUAUGAAAUAGGAGAAAUUGGCGGUUUCAGAGGGGGGAUAAUUGACUGGGGAUUAACUGAACGGAUUUCAACCGUGGGGUAAUUGGUUGUGGGAUUCUGUUACUGUUGGAUUUUGGCUCUGAUACCAAAUUGAUGCAGAAUUAGGAUGAUGGGGAAGAGGGAACACAGAGAAACAGGGAAGAAGGAGGAGAAAUAGGGCAGAAGAGGGAGAAGAGACGGCAGCAGCCAAACCAAUAAUUCUCAAUGAAUUCAUCGUCCAAAAUUACAAACCAAGAUAGAUUUAAAUAAUAAAAACCUAGAAAUAUAGGGCCAAGCCCAUUACUUAAGUCCUAACUAAAAUACGUAAACUUAAAUAAAAGUCCAACUGAAACAAUAAUAAAAGUCCAACUAAAAUACUGAAACAAUAAUAAAAGUCCAACUAUAAUGAUGUCCUCAUCA